GGACUACAGGGGUUUCUAAUCCUGUUUGAUCCCCGCACUUUCGAGCCUCAGCGUCAGUUACAGCUUCGUUAGCUGCCUUCGCAAUCGGUGUUCUAUGACAUCUCUAUGUAUUUCACCACUACAUGUCAUAUUCCGCCAACGGCAACUGUACUCAAGCCCUACAGUAUCAAUGGCAAUUUCCUCGUUAAGCGAGGAGAUUUCACCACUGACUUAUAAGGCCGCCUACGCUCCCUUUAAACCCAAUGAAUCCGGAUAACGCUUGCAUCCUUCGUCUUACCGCGGCGGCUGGCAC
rnacentral:rRNA from 2 species